rnacentral:rRNA from 1 species
AGUGAACGCUGGCGGUAGGCCUAACACAUGCAAGUCGAACGGCAGCACAGUAAGAGCUUGCUCUUACGGGUGGCGAGUGGCGGACGAGUGAGGAAUACAUCGGAAUCUACUUUUUCGUGGGGGAUAACGUAGGGAAACUUACGCUAAUACCUCAUACGACCUACGGGUUAAAUCAGUGGAUCUUCGGACCUUGCGCGAUUGAAUGAGCCGAUGUCGGAUUAGCUAGUUGGCGGGGUAAAGGCCCACCAAGGCGACGAUCCGUAGCUGGUCUGAGAGGAUGAUCAGCCACACUGGAACUGAGACACGGUCCAGACUCCUACGGGAGGCAGCAGUGGGGAAUAUUGGACAAUGGGCGAAAGCCUGAUCCAGCAAUACCGCGUGGGUGAAGAAGGCCUUCGGGUUGUAAAGCCCUGUUGUUGGGAAAGAAAAGCAGCAGGUUAAUACCCCGAUGUUCUGACGGUACCAAAAGAAUAAGCACCGGCUAACUUCGUG